ACUGUCCAAGCCUUCUGUGUGAGGAACUGGAGGAUUUGUCAAAAAACAGCAACCGAGGGAACAUGAGCAGGAGGAGGAGGAGGGAAACGGAGGAGGAAGUGUUUAGUCAGUGGGAGGAUGAAGAGGCAGCAGAGGAGACAUGGCGAGAAGAGAAGGACGGGGAGGGGGGGAAAGAAGAGAAAGUUGUGACAGAGGGAGAAGAGGAGGAGCAGGUGAAGCCUGAGAGUAGGCUGAAAGUGGUACAGGAGGUGCAGAUGGAAGACGACAAGAUUGAGAAGGCCAAGGAAACAAUUGCUGAUGAACAAGAGAGUAAAGUGACAAAGCGCUUAGCACAAAAAGAUGAGCAGAAGAAGAGUAAGAACAAGCGAGGUAGGAAGCAAAGUGAGCAGGUGAGAAGUAAGGGAGGAGUAAAGGAUGUUGGUGAGAGGUCUGAGGAGGAGAAGACAAGUGAGACACAGGAGGUGCCAGCGAUGAGCUCAGAGGAGACCUCGGCUCUGACAAACAGCUGUGACCUCUCUGACCCACUCUACUUGGGGUUUGUGGGGACAGGGCUGUGUUGUCCCCAGUUCCCAUCCCCUGCUGUACUCCUCACAGCCUCCUGUCUCCAUCCAGCCCACAUGUCCUCAGCCACAGAGUAACAAAAGACCUCAUAGCCCCCUUCUGCCUCACAGUGUCCCGCAGCAGGGCCCACAACCACUUGAGAUGGAGAUAACGCAGGUAUACCCCACCCAACAUAGCACCAGGGGCCGAGGUCGAGCCCUCAGCUUCCCACUGCUGCCAGGGAUAGAGUCUGUGGACAGCUGCCUGCUGCCACCUGCACCGAAGAAGAGAACACGGAUUGACUACAGCACAGAUCAGUUAGAGCAUUUAGAGGCCCUGUUCCAAGAGGAUCACUAUCCGGACGUGAAAAAAGAAAAGUGAUUGCUGCUUCAGUCGGCGUCACACCUCAGAGAAUUAUGGUCUGGUUUCAGAACCGAAGGGCGAAGUGGAGGAAAGUACGUGGUGUUACAGCAAAGGUGGAACACGGACAGAGUAGAGCUGAAUACAGUCCACAUCACCAAAUCAAUCCCACUUUGCCCACACUGGCUCACAACAGUAAGGGAGCCGCUUCUUUGUCUCGUUAUUAUGCUCUCAAGCUACCCCAGCUUGCCCCUGUGCCACCUUCAUUCCCCACCAUAACCACUCAGAGCCCACCCUCCCACAGCAGCCUGUUGGCCAGCCUCAGCACCCCAGCUGGGAUUACAGCGUACCAGUCUUACCCAUGGGGCAACAUGUGCAGUCAGCCAGCCAUGCACCAGCGUACUCAGUGCCCUCCUGCUUACCCUGGCAGCUUGGGACCUGGUCGAGAGCACCAGCCUACCUCUUCCACCAUCUUCCCUCUUCCUUCGUUCUUCCCUGGGGAGGACCAGGAGUCGUUGCAUGCAAAUUCCCAGGAUCCUUCACUCAACCAGACUUUCACAAGCAGCACCACCAGCACUGCCACCGUCCUGCCACCUGUGUCAACGCUCCUGCCCUCUUGCCUCAGGGUGGAGGAUACUCCAGCCAGGGAGUCAUUGCUAAUGCCCUCGCAGACAGAAGAAAUGGAUGUCACAGUUCCUACAGAUGACCAGGACAUCCAACUCCCUCGUCUGGACAGAAGUAAAAGUGUUUCUGCUUUUAUCAUUUCAAUUUUGGCUUAG
ensembl:lncRNA